rnacentral:rRNA from 1 species
AGUGAACGCUGGCGGUAGGCCUAACACAUGCAAGUCGAACGGCAGCACAGUAAGAGCUUGCUCUUACGGGUGGCGAGUGGCGGACGGGUGAGGAAUACAUCGGAAUCUACUUUUUCGUGGGGGAUAACGUAGGGAAACUUACGCUAAUACCGCAUACGACCUACGGGUGAAAGCAGGGGAUCUUCGGACCUUGCGCGAUUGAAUGAGCCGAUGUCGGAUUAGCUAGUUGGCGGGGUAAAGGCCCACCAAGGCAACGAUCCGUAGCUGGUCUGAGAGGAUGAUCAGCCACACUGGAACUGAGCCACGGUCCAGACUCCUACGGGACGCAGCAGUGGGGAAUGUUGGACAAUGGGCGAAAGCCUGGUCCAGCCAUACCGCGUGGGUGAAGAAGGCCUUCGGGUUGUAAAGCCCUUUUGUUGGGAAAGAAAAGCAGCAGGUUAAUACCCCGCUGUUCUGACGGUACCCAAAGAAUAAGCCCCGGCUAACUUCGUG